UUUAAUUACAGAGGAGGAGAUGACAUCACGUCUAUAGAUCUUGUGUGUACAAGAAGUAAAAAAAAAACAAAAAAACUGUCAAUUACAAACAAACAGUCUUUCUUUAGUUUUCAGGUUCAAAAGCCAUUGCAUUAAGUGAAGAAAUUAAAUUGUGUUAUUGUAAAAUUAAUACAUUAAUAUUUUCCUCACUUAAAAUAUUCUAUAUAUAUAUAUAUAUAUAUAUAUAUAUAUACCGUGUAUAUAUACAGUGUAUAUAAAUAUAUAUAUUUUUAUAUAUAAAGUCAUGUGAAAAAGAAAGUACACCCAUUUAUUUUUACAUAUCAGGACAUAAUAAAAAAAAUCAUCUGGUCUUUAGCAGGUCUUGAAAUUAACCUCAGAUGAACAACAACACAUGACAUAUUACACAGUGUUAUGUAUUUAACAAAAAUAAAGCCAAAAUGAAGAAGCCAUGUGUGACAAACUAUGAUUUAAUUGCUUGUAGAACCACCUUGAAGUAAUCAUUUUCUGUAUGACUUUAUCAGUCUCUCACAUCAUUGUGGAGGAAUUUUGGCCUGCUCUUCUUUACAGCGUUGGUUCAGUUCAUUGAGCCAUUCAGUUGUUCUCUUUGCUGGUGUGCUUGGGAUCAUUCAUUGUCCUGCAUGACCCAAUUUCGGCUGAGCUUUAGCUGUCAGACAGAUGACCUCACAUUUGACUCUAGAAUACUUUGCUAUACAGAGGAGUCCAUGGUCGAACUUGCAUGACUGCAAGGUACCCAGGUCCUGUGGCUGCAAAACAAGCCAAAAAUUAUCAACCCUCCACCACCGUGCUUGACGGUUAGUAUGAGUUGUGUGUGCUGAUAUGCUGUGUUUGUGGAUUAUGGCCAAACAUCUCCUCUUUGGUCUUGUCUGUCUGUAGGACAUAGUUCCAGAAGUCUUGUGGUUUAUUCAGAUGCAACUUUGCAAACCUAAGCCGAGCUGCCGUGUUCUUUUUAGAGAGAAGAAAUGUUCUCCUGGCAACCCUUCCAAACAUGCCAUACUUGUUCAGUGUUUUUCUAAUUGUACUGUCAUUAACUUUAACAUUUAACAUGCUAACUAAGGCCUGUAGAGUAUGAGGUGUAGUUCUUGGGUAUUUAGCAGUUUCUCUGAGCAGUGCACGGUUUGACCUUGGGGUGAAUUUGCUGGGACGUCCACUCCUGGGAAGAUUGGCAACUGUCUAUUGAAUGCUUUCCACUUGUGAAUAAUCUUUCUCACUGUAGAAUGAUGGACUUUAAAUUGUUUGGAAAUGGCCGUUACGUAUAACCCUUCCUAGAUUGAUAGGCAGCAACAAUUGCUUCUCUAAGAUCAUUGCUGAUGUACUGUUUUUAUAGAGUUGGUCACACUUGCAGAUGAUCAAUUAAUGAAAGGCAUUUGAUCAGCAGUGCCUGACUGCUACUUACCCUCUUAAUUCUUAUGGAAGCAGUAAGGGUGUACUUAGUUUGUAACACAUGGCUUCUCUAUUUUGCCCUAGUUUUUGUUAAAUAGAACCAUGACACUGUGUAAUAUGUCAUGUGUUGUUCAUCUGAUGUUGUAUUUAUCUAAUUUUAAGACCUGCCAAGGACCAGAUGAUUUUUGUAUUAUGUCCUGAUACGUAAAACCAUAGUAUUCAAAA